AACGAACGCUGGCGGCAGGCUUAACACAUGCAAGUCGAGCGCCCCGCAAGGGGAGCGGCAGACGGGUGAGUAACGCGUGGGAAUCUACCCAUCUCUACGGAAUAACGCAUGGAAACGUGUGCUAAUACCGUAUACGUCCUUCGGGAGAAAGAUUUAUCGGAGAUGGAUGAGCCCGCGUUGGAUUAGCUAGUUGGUGGGGUAAAGGCCUACCGAGGCGACGAUCCAUAGCUGGUCUGAGAGGACGAUCAGCCACACUGGGACUGAGACACGGCCCAGACUCCUACGGGAGGCAGCAGUGGGGAAUAUUGGACAAUGGGCGCAAGCCUGAUCCAGCCAUGCCGCGUGAGUGAUGAAGGCCCUAGGGUUGUAAAGCUCUUUCACCGGUGAAGAUAAUGACGGUAACCGGCGAAGAAGCCCCGGCUAACUUCGUGCCAGCCGCCGCAGUAAAAC
rnacentral:rRNA from 1 species